rnacentral:rRNA from 1 species
GACGAACGCUGGCGGCGUGCUUAACACAUGCAAGUCGAACGGAAAGGCCCUGCUUUUGUGGGGUGCUCGAGUGGCGAACGGGUGAGUAACACGUGAGUAACCUGCCCUUGACUUUGGGAUAACUUCAGGAAACUGGGGCUAAUACCGGAUAGGAGCUCCUGCUGCAUGGUGGGGGUUGGAAAGUUUCGGCGGUUGGGGAUGGACUCGCGGCUUAUCAGCUUGUUGGUGGGGUAGUGGCUCACCAAGGCGUUGACGGGUAGCCGGCCUGAGAGGGUGGCCGGCCACAUUGGGACUGAGAUACGGCCCAGACUCCUACGGGAGGCAGCAGUGGGGAAUAUUGCACAAUGGGCGGAAGCCUGAUGCAGCAACGCCGCGUGCGGGAUGACGGCCUUCGGGUUGUAAACCGCUUUCGCCUGUGACGAAGCGUGAGUGACGGUAAUGGGUAAAGAAGCACCGGCUAACUACGUG